AUGGAUUUGGUGUUCAUUUGGGUUUUCCUUGUUGCUUGUUUAAAAGGUGUCCAGUCUGAGGUGAAGCUUGUGGAGUCUGGAGGAGGCCUGGUGAAGCCUGGAGGAUCUCUGAGACUAUCCUGUGUAGCCUCUGGAUUCACUUUCAGUGACUUCUGGAUGUACUGGUAUCGCCAAGUUCCAGGGAAGGGACUGGAGUGGGUUGGAGGUAUUAGUACAGACAGCAGUACUAUAAGAUAUGCACCAUCCGUGAAGGAUCGAUUCACCAUCUCCAGAGACAAUGCCAAGAACACUCUGUACCUGCAAAUGAACAGUGUGAGAUCUGAGGACACAGCCACUUAUUACUGUGCUAAUGACACAGUGAUGGAACUUCAGUGUUCAGACAUAAACCUCACUGUUAGGCCACUCAGGGCCACCAGGGGGUGCAAAAGACACAGAAUACAGGUUCAUCCCAGUAAUUUAUGCAGACAUGAUUAG